AUCCCUGAUAUGGAGGUGGGGAACCCAAAACACUGAGAGCAGUGUGUGCUUAGGAAGCCACAGAGCUGGGAGUAGAGCCCCAGCAGCCUGAUCCAGAGCCCCUGUUCUUCACCACCACCCUGCCCUCCUCCAGGGAGCGCAGUGGGGGUCCUGGAGCCUCUUUCCAUCUGUUGGGUCUCGGUGAGAGGUAACUGCAUUAUCCUGUGAUGCCAAGGUGGUACAUACACCCCAGGUCACAUUGUAGGUACUCAAAAGACAUGUGUAGAUUGACCAGGCAGUGGACAAAUGACAUCACCCAUUGAAAAGAGUGGAUUGAUGGGCUGAUUAUUUAAGAGUGGCGGAAAGGAAAUGUGUGGAAUUUCAUAGAUGAUAACAGCCAAGAAAACAAAAAUUGAAGUGAACACAGUGAUGAAGAGAAUAAAGAAAGGUAAAGACAAGGCUGAAGGUGGCAUUCAUCAAAGUCCCAGCACUGAAGGGAGCGGCUGUGCUUUAAGAAGAAAAAGUCUGCUACCAAG